AACGAACGCUGGCGGCAUGCCUAACACAUGCAAGUCGAACGUGAUCCGGGACUUCGGUUUCGGUGAAAGUGGCGGACGGGUGAGUAACGCGUGGGAACCUGCCCAGUGGUAGGGGAGUAACCGCGGGAAACGUGCGGCUAAUACCCUAUGUGCCCUCGCGGGGCGAAAGAAUUCAUCGCCAUUGGAGGGGCCCGCGUCGGAUUAGGUAGUUGGU
rnacentral:rRNA from 1 species